GAUGAACGCUGGCGGCGUGCUUAACACAUGCAAGUCGAACGAUGAAGCCCAGCUUGCUGGGUGGAUUAGUGGCGAACGGGUGAGUAACACGUGAGUAACCUGCCCUUAACUCUGGGAUAAGCCUGGGAAACUGGGUCUAAUACCGGAUAGGAGCGUCCACCGCAUGGUGGGUGUUGGAAAGAUUUAUCGGUUUUGGAUGGACUCGCGGCCUAUCCGCUUGUUGGUGAGGGAAUGGUUCACCAAGGCGACGACGGGUAGCCGGCCUGAGAGGGUGACCGUCCACACUGGGACUGAGACACGGCCCAGACUCCUACGGGAGGCAGCAGUGGGGAAUAUUGCACAAUGGGCGCAAGCCUGAUGCAGCGACGCCGCGUGAGGGAUGACGGCCUUCGGGUUGUAAACCUCUUUCAGUAGGGAAGAAGCGAAAGUGACGGUACCUGCAGAAGAAGCACCGGCUAACUACGUG
rnacentral:rRNA from 1 species